GGCGCGACGGUCUCAUUUGUUGAGAUCGAUUCUCCUCUUCCCAAAUCCUUUCUCAUUGUGUUUUUAUGAUACCUGGACACAUCAGAUAGAACAUGUUUGUGAAGAGUGAUAGUUUUGAAAUUUAAAAGUUGUGCAUUUCGAUGGGGUGCUCUCUUAUCAGGACUUCUGAAGACGAGGAAUCUUCUCUUCCAGGAAGGUUGCUGCAUUUAAUAGGGAAUGUGGCCGACAACAAUUUCUGUGAUCUUCAAGUUAAAGUAAACAAAUUCGUAAGUAUCUCUCUCUAUCUCUUUGUCUAAAUAUUAUCGAUCUUUAUGAGAAGUUUCC